UACGAAGGGUGCAAGCGUUACUCGGAAUUACUGGGCGUAAAGCGUGCGUAGGCGGUUUGUUAAGUCUGUCGUGAAAGCCCUGGGCUCAACCCUGGGAAUUGCGAUGGAUACUGGCAAGCUAGAGUACGGUAGAGGAUGGUGGAAUUCCCGGUGUAGCGGUGAAAUGCGUAGAGAUCGGGAGGAACACCCGUGGCGAAGGCGGCCAUCUGGACCAGUACUGACGCUGAGGCACGAAAGCGUGGGGAAGCAAACAGGGAUAAGAAACCCUUUG
rnacentral:rRNA from 1 species